GUGGUCGUGGUGGAAUGGUAGACACGCAGCGUUGAGGUCGCUGUUCCUAUUUAUAGGAGUGGAAGUUCAAGUCUUCUCGACCAUACCA
rnacentral:tRNA from 1 species